rnacentral:rRNA from 1 species
ACGAUUUGGGCACUGUCUCAACGAGAGACUCGGUGAAAUCAUAGUACCUGUGAAGAUGCAGGUUACCCGCGACAGGACGGAAAGACCCCGYGGAGCUUUACUGUAGCCUGAUAUUGAAAUUCGGCACAGCUUGUACAGGAUAGGUAGGAGCCUUUGAAACGUGAGCGCUAGCUUACGUGGAGGCGUUGGUGGGAUACUACCCUAGCUGUGUUGGCUUUCUAACCCGCACCACUUAUCGUGGUGGGAGACAGUGUCAGGCGGGCAGUUUGACUGGGGCGGUCGCCUCCUAAAAGGUAACGGAGGCGCUCAAAGGUUCCCUCAGAAUGGUUGGAAAUCAUUCAUAGAGUGUAAAGGCAUAAGGGAGCUUGACUGCGAGACCUACAAGUCGAGCAGGGUCGAAAGACGGACUUAGUGAUCCGGUGGUUCCGCAUGGAAGGGCCAUCGCUCAACGGAUAAAAGCUACCCCGGGGAUAACAGGCUUAUCUCCCCCAAGAGUUCACAUCGACGGGGAGGUUUGGCACCUCGAUGUCGGCUCAUCGCAUCCUGGGGCUGUAGUCGGUCCCAAGGGUUGGGCUGUUCGCCCAUUAAAGCGGUACGCGAGCUGGGUUCAGAACGUCGUGAGACAGUUCGGUCCCUAUCCGUCGUGGGCGUAGGAAAUUUGAGAGGAGCUGUCCUUAGUACGAGAGGACCGGGAUGGACAUACCUCUGGUGUACCAGUUGUCGUGCCAACGGCAUAGCUGGGUAGCUAUGUAUGGACGGGAUAAGUGCUGAAAGCAUCUAAGCAUGAAGCCCCCCUCAAGAUGAGAUUUCCCAACUUCGGUUAUAAGAUCCCUCAGAGAUGAUGAGGUUAAUAGGUUCGAGGUGGAAGCGUGGUGACACGUGGAGCUGACGAAUACUAAUCGAUCGAAGACUUAAUCAAUUUUUUCAA